UACGGAGGGUGCAAACGUUGCUCGGAAUCAUUGGGCGUAAAGCGCACGUAGGCGGUCCAGUAAGUCGGGUGUGAAAGCCCUGGGCUCAACCCAGGAAGGGCACUCGAAACUGCUGGGCUGGAGUACGGAAGAGGGUCUCGGAAUUCCCGGUGUAGAGGUGAAAUUCGUAGAUAUCGGGAGGAACACCAGUGGCGAAGGCGGAGACCUGGGCCGAUACUGACGCUGAGGUGCGAAAGCGUGGGGAGCAAACAGG
rnacentral:rRNA from 1 species